UCCUACGGGGGAGCAGCAGUUAGGAAUCUUCCGCAAUGGGCGAAAGCCUGACGGAGCGACGCCGCUUGGAGGAAGAAGCCCUUCGGGGUGUAAACUCCUGAACCCAGGACGAAAUCCCCGAUGAGGGGGAUGACGGUACUGGGGUAAUAGCGCCGGCCAACUCCGUGCCAGCAGCCGCGGUAAUACGGAGGGCGCGAGCGUUACCCGGAUUUACUGGGCGUAAAGGGCGUGUAGGCGGUUUGGCGCGUCCAGCGUUAAAGACCGCGGCUCAACCGCGGGGGUGCGCUGGAUACGGCCAAGCUAGACGGCUGGAGGGGGUGGUGGAAUUCCCGGAGUAGCGGUGAAAUGCGCAGAUACCGGGAGGAACGCCGAUGGCGAAGGCAGCCACCUGGCCAGUUCGUGACGCUGAGGCGCGAAAGCGUGGGGAGCAAACCNGGAUUAGAUACCCGGGUAGUCCACGCCCUAAACGAUGCGCACUAGGUCUCUGGGUUUCCUGGGGGCCGAAGCUAACGCGUAAGUGCGCCGCUGGG
rnacentral:rRNA from 1 species